UUGCACAGUGAACACCCAAGUGUGCUCUAUAGUUCCAUUGGUUUUAAGUCUGCUGGAAAAGUGUCUGUUCUUUACCUCUGCAUUGAAAGGAUUAUCUUUUUAAGUGUAUUCAAAAAGUCAGCACAUUA